UGUAAGGCCUAAGUUGGAUC
rnacentral:miRNA from 1 species